GGUGGCCUAUAGGGCCCAGAGGAAACCAGGUAGGUUUCCUGCCCUGGAGCAUGAGCUCAGGCAGUGGCGGAGCCUGGUGGUCCUGCUGUCCUCCGCAGGCCUAACCUCAGUCAGGGCUCCAGGGCCUUCCCGUCUACCCUCUGAGCACCUUCUCUGUGCCAGCACCGCUGCACACAGUGUUCCCUUUAUUCUUCACAGCCACUUGCAAGAUUCAACGUUCUGCCUCUUACCUGAACUGCAAUGACCUGUUGUGAGAAGCCCAAACCAUGUGGGGGAGCCCUGGAGGAUAUGACAUCAUUUGCAGAGAGGUCAAGAAGUGCUAAGGCCUUGUCAUCAACCCCGCUUCUAAGAAUAGACCCCAUGGAUGCACUGGUAAAAAAAAAAAAAAAAGCCAAAUGAUACAUGCACGAGGCUAUUCAUCGUAACUCUAUUGUAAUAGCCAAAGAUUGGAAAUAGGCACGUGUCCAUCAGAAGGGACUGGUUGGCUAAGCCACACAAUGGAGGACCCUGAGGCCGCAAAGGAACAAGAUCACAACAUACCAUCGCAGAGAGAUCACCCGGGUGGCUUCUUCUGCAAAAGACCCUGCGGGCAAAGCAUCCUGUGAUGGGAACCAAAACUACCAACCCCUGAAGCAAUAAGGACUGCCCUGAUGCCUGCAAGCCUCCCGUGACUGACGCCAAGACAAUGAUUGACCUGACCUUUACUGCCCACCUGCACGUACCCACUGACGUUUGCCCCACAUUUUCCUUAUAUAAACCUACAGAUAUUCUCAGCACUUUGGAGAUGGUCUUUGAGAUGCUAGUCCGUGGUCUUCAAGGUGUUGGCUGCACUGAAAUAAAUUCCUUUCUGGUUUCACCACCA